AUUGAACGCUGGCGGCAGGCCUAACACAUGCAAGUCGAACGAGUGGCGGACGGGUGAGUAAUGUCUGGUCAACUGCCCGUUGGAGGGGGAUCACUACUGGAAACCGUAUCUAAUACCCCAUACCAUCGUAUUUGCCCAUGUGGGAUUGGCUAGUAGUUGGGGUAACGGCUCACCUGGGCGACGAUCCCUCACUGGUCUGAGAGGAUGACCAGCAAAACGGGAACUGAGACACGGUCCAGACUCCUACGGGGGGCAGCAGGGGGGAAUAUUGCAAAAUGGGCGAAAGCCUGAGGAAGACAGGCCGCGGGUAUGAAGAAGGCCUUCGGGUUGUAAAGGACUGUCAGCGAGGAGGCGGUACUCGAAGAAGAAGCAACGGCUAACUCCGUGCCAGCAGCCGCGGUAAUUC
rnacentral:rRNA from 1 species